rnacentral:rRNA from 1 species
GAGCGCAACCCUUAUCCUUUGUUGCCAGCACGUAAUGGUGGGAACUCAAAGGAGACUGCCGGUGAUAAACCGGAGGAAGGUGGGGAUGACGUCAAGUCAUCAUGGCCCUUACGAGUAGGGCUACACACGUGCUACAAUGGCAGAUACAAAGAGAAGCGACCUCGCGAGAGCAAGCGGAACUCAUAAAGUCUGUCGUAGUCCGGAUUGGAGUCUGCAACUCGACUCCAUGAAGUCGGAAUCGCUAGUAAUCGUAGAUCAGAAUGCUACGGUGAAUACGUUCCCGGGCCUUGUACACACCGCCCGUCACACCAUGGGAGUGGGUUGCAAAAGAAGUAGGUAGCUUAACCUUCGGGAGGGCGCUUACCACUUUGUGAUUCAUGACUGGGGUGAAGUCGUAACAAGGUAACCGUAGGGGAACCUGCGGUUGGAUCACCUCCUUA